GUUUUUAUAAUUUAAUUAAAAUAGUGAUCUUGUAAAUCAAAUUUGGACAUUAUCCUAGAAACU
rnacentral:tRNA from 1 species